rnacentral:rRNA from 1 species
AAUCUACCCUUAGGACUGGGAUAACCCCGGGAAACUGGGGAUAAUACCGGAUAGGCAAUCAAUGCUGGAAUGCGUGAUAGCCGAAAGCUGAGACGCCUAAGGAUGGGUCUGCGGCCGAUUAGGUUGUUGUUGAUGUAAAGGAUCAACAAGCCUACGAUCGGUACGGGUUGUGAGAGCAAUAGCCCGGAGAUGGGUUCUGAGAAAAGAACCCAAGCCCUACGGGGCGCAUCAGGCGCGAAAACUCUACAAUGCGCGAAAGCGCGAUAAGGGGACUCCGAGUGCCUCCUAAAGAGGCUGUUCAGGUGCCUAAAAAGCACCUGAAGGAAGGGCUGGGUAAGACCGGUGCCAGCCGCCGCGGUAACACCGGCAGCCCAAGUGGUAGCCACUUUUAUUGGGUCUAAAGCAUUCGUAGCCGGCUAAGUAAGUCUUUUGGGAAAUCUGGCUGCUUAACAGUCAGACUUCCAGAGGAUACUGCUUUGCUUGGGACCGGAAGAGGUCAGAGGUACUCCAGGGGUAGGGGUGAAAUCCUUUAAUCCUUGGGGGACCA